GGCAGACUGACGAAUGAGUUUGGGAUCAGACUGAAGCUGUGACUGUUUGGGAGAUGAUGUCACGGUGCCCUGCAGAAGGUGGCAGUUUAUCACAGACCUGUCGUUUGGCUACACGGUGAAGCUUUUUUAAAAAGUUUGUAAUUCACUUCAAAGCUUCAAGCUGGAGGUUUAAGAGCCGGCUCAGAUGCUGCCGGACAUCAGAAGAAGAAGACGAGUCGUCACAGUGAGUCGGUGCUUGAAUUCCCUGCUGAGGAGCACGGGUGGAAAUAGAAGCACAGGCGGGUGGAUGGUCUGUGUGAAGGUUGAUUAGAGGCUCUUCAGAUGUGGAUGAAUGAAUGAUAGACUUUGGAAAAAUCACACAAUAAGAGAUUUUGGCAGCUAAAGAGCUUUGCUCCUACUUUAGUCUACGAAGGCUCCACGCCCUUGGAUAUUAAGCAACCAAUCAGGUGACUUCAAGUGCAUUCGCCUCAUAGCUCCUCAUAGCCUUCAUCACGUUACUGUUACCAAGGGGUUCUCUUUACAUGAGUUGAUUAUUACAGAGUGUCAGCCUUAUGCUGGCUGGAGCAGCUCUACUGGCAGCUCCUAACAUCAGCUCGCGGGUUCAGGCUUGGUUGUGUUUAGGUGUGGCUGCUGUGUGUGUGGCUUCACUCAACUCGACCUGCCAGCAGUGUUUGUGACUUUUGGAGCAUUUCUUUGUUCUUUGGUCCUUUUACCCAAUACAAGAGGGGCUCAAAGGCACUAGAGAUGCCCACCGUUUGGUUAGCAUGAAUAAAUCAAGGAUGCUAUUUCUUCAUGAUUUCACCAAUAACAAUAACACAGUUUGAUCUCAGUCCAGCACUUAUCACUAACACUAGCACGCUGUUAUAAACAGGCAUCAACUGACAGAAGUUCUUCAUUUGGAGUCCUCUUAUUGAUACUAAUGUUAGUGAUUAUUAUAUUUAAGGACUCAUUAUCAUUCUCCUGCUGUCAAAUGCAAAAACUAGCUGGGAAUGAAAGUCAUGGAACAAGCCAAUCAUAAUAGCUGCAGAGUGCACUGACAUGGUCACAGAUCCAGGAGGGUUACAAAGUUGGUCACAGAGGAGCCUAAAAUAGAAACAUACUGGAAGAAAAAAGGAGAUUUUAUUGCAGAUUUAUAACCUGAUCAAAAGAAAGUGUUUUGGUUUGGACGGACAUGUGUUUGUAAAACUAUCCACACACUGAAUGAAAUGUUUCUUUUACCUCAGUAUGUGGGAGAAGAGUCUAAUUAUGUCACUUUACUGUCACUCCAUAUAUUGCAGACAU
ensembl:lncRNA